rnacentral:rRNA from 1 species
AACGAACGCUGGCGGCAUGCCUAACACAUGCAAGUCGAACGAGACCUUCGGGUCUAGUGGCGCACGGGUGCGUAACGCGUGGGAAUCUGCCCUUGGGUUCGGAAUAACAGUUAGAAAUGACUGCUAAUACCGGAUAAUGUCUUCGGACCAAAGAUUUAUCGCCCAGGGAUGAGCCCGCGUAGGAUUAGCUAGUUGGUGAGGUAAAGGCUCACCAAGGCGACGAUCCUUAGCUGGUCUGAGAGGAUGAUCAGCCACACUGGGACUGAGACACGGCCCAGACUCCUACGGGAGGCAGCAGUGGGGAAUAUUGGACAAUGGGCGAAAGCCUGAUCCAGCAAUGCCGCGUGAGUGAUGAAGGCCUUAGGGUUGUAAAGCUCUUUUACCCGGGUAUGAUAAUGACAGUACCGGGAGAAUAAAGCCCCGGCUAACUCCGUGCCAGCAGCCGCGG